CCCCGAGUCAUCGCUAAGCCAAUCCCCCCACUCUACAAACUCGUUCCAGUCAAAUGAAUCGUCAGACUGUUCACUCACCUCUUCAUCGUCUACAGAUUCCCUGGACCCGUCCCCGUGUUUCCCCAUGUGGAGUAUGGAGAGAGGUCGGAGUGGUCGUGUGUGUGAUUUCCCUGUUUCCCUGGAACCCUGCCCCUCACGUCUUGUAAAUAGCAAAAUCCUCGCACUGCCUGUAAAUACACUUGGCGAAGAAAUUGUAAAUAAAACCUUUUCUGUUAAAUCGCAA